AAUCGGCAAUGCAUACAUCGAUUCUGUGAAAAGAUCUACGGGCGAGUGACGUUUCAGGAGAACGUUCACUUUAUGAAAUUGCAACGGGAACAAUUGAAGAAUUUGCGGUUAAAAUUUCAGGAGGAGAAGGCUCUUAUUAAGGCUAAAUUGGAUCGCUUGGAUGGGAAAAUUGUGGAAAUGCAGGAAAAGCAUUUUGAACC
rnacentral:sRNA from 1 species